CGGGUCAUGGCCGGGGACUCUAGCGGAACUGCCAGCGUAAGCUGCGAGGAAGGGUGGGGAUGACGUACAAAUCAGCACCGGCCCUUACGUCCGAGGGCUACACACGUGUUACAAUGGCCGGUACAGGAGGGCAGCCCACCCCGCGGAGGGGGCGCGAAUCCCGAAAGCCGGUCCCAGUUCGGAUCGGAGUCUGCAACCCGACUCCGUGAAGCUGGAUUCGCUAGUAAUCGCGCAUCAGCCACGGCGCGGUGAAUACGUUCCCGGGCCUU
rnacentral:rRNA from 1 species